GAUCGAUCACCGUACUGGGACAGAUGCAGUUCCACCAAGCCCCAGGUCAACCCUUUUUUGUCUCUUCCUUUUGGGUUUCCUGCCAAAGUCUCAAAAAACCGGGGGCGCUGAGCUGUCCGGCAAAACCGUACCGAGAGUGGCCAUCGUUUUCUCCGUUCCACACACACACACACAUCGGCCGGCCACAGCAGAGGCCAGAGGCCAACAGAAGCGCCGCAUUCCACCGGCAUAGCAGUACCAUACGCUCCAGUGCGGCGUGAACCUCUCGUCAUCACCUCUCAGUGAGACCACCUGGGGCCUCUAGUUUGCAGGAUACUUCUGGCCACGUAUAGCAGAACCAUCCAAUUCUGAGUAGAUUCCAAAUCGACGAGGAUGUGUAUGUUUCCUCCGGUUCACCAAUCAUAUUCAGCCAGAUGUUCAUUCGUUCAUGUUGGUUUGGAAUUUGGAUGCUUUUAUGUUUCCUCCGAACCACCAGUUUAUAUUCAGUCAGAUAUUUAUUUAUUUAUUUCUGGGGGGAGUUUAGAGUUGGCUCAGUACAGUACAGCUACAGAUGGAUCAAGUCACGAACUGGCCGGAUAGCAGCCUGUGUUGCUAACUCGCUAUGGAGGGUGUAGCAAAGCUUGCUAGGUGUCAUAUCAAUGUGAGAAAUUGUGACUGAAGAUCGAGGUUUUCUUGACUGGCAUGCCAUUUGUCAUGCUAAUUAUUACUGUUUCCCCAUGUUUCUAGUGCUCUCCGUCAAAUGCCAACAAAUUAUUAUUAUAAGCUACUAUUCCAGGACACUUUACCUGCUAUGAAGACUUUGCAGGAUGUGCCUUACAGAGGCUGCUGGAAGUGAGAUGGUUACAAUUGCAACUCAAAGUGAAAGUCUAGACAUUGGCACACCAACAUUCUACCAUGCGGGACAGCAUUUACAACUUUUGAGACAUAAUUUCUGUCUCUCUGCACGUCCAUUUUCUUUUCUUGUCUCACAUAUUAUACUCUCUACAGUACACACAUAACAUACUCGUGUCUCUUUCUUGUCACACCUCACGGUGCAAUCAAUGGCUGUCUACAUAUAUUUUCAGAGAUCAUCUCGUACGCCCAUAUAUUUUCAGAGAUCAUCUCGGAGGUAACCUCAAGUGCCCCCGCCAUUUCAAUGUCUGUGAAAUCUGUCAGAUACUCUGGUAUGCUCGGCACCAUGAACAGGUUUUCAAAGCUUUCAUCCUGGAUUCCAUAGACAUCAUUGUGAACAAACGUUGGGCUGCUACUGCUUUGGUUCUGAUUGGCAAUCGGCACACUGUAAUAGUGUGCUGUGUCAACAACACACGGAUGGUUGACGACAUCCUUCUUGCAAAUGUGGUGGCCGUAAUAUUCAACGUCGAACAAGCUCACUGUCCCGCUUCCAUCUGAUUCCUUCUGUUGAACUGUCUUGGUUGCAAGGCACCCUUGGUCUUUACUAUUGGCACAUCUAUAGUAGCUCCUGAUUAAGCAUGACCUCAUUAUAUGUAUAUUUUUAUAUUUGUUAUUAUACGCAAAAGGCAAAAAUGUGCAAAAUAUUAUCCAUCCACAUAGAUGAGAAUGACUGCAGUUUUGAGCUAGUAUAUAUGUGCACAAAGCUAAUCAGCCAGCCACUGUCAGGGCCUAAGGAGGCCCACGGAGGGGCUGCGGUAGCAGCAGCCAUGGGCCCUCAAGGGGGAUUAGAUAAGGAUAGUUAGAGAUAAGAUUAGAAGAUUAGUUGAGAUUAUUUAGGAGAUUAGUUGAGAUUAUCUAGGAAGGUUAUCAGUUAGUAGUUUGUUGAGAGUUUUUAGGAGCUAAGGAUCUCUAGCUAGAUAGGGACGGCCAGCUGGCCUAUUUAUGUAAUCAAUGGAUGAGAAAUAAAGCAGGCAAGAAUUAGAAGGGACAAACCCUCCUCUUGCUUGGCCGUGGGCAAAGGCCCCUGGCCGACGUUCCUGCCCAUCGAUACCCCUCUCCAAUCCCUCACCGAUCUAGUGACCAUAACAUCCACACACACACGAGGACCCGAAUUCAGUUUACAAUAUAUGAAAUACGUCAACACAUAUGUUUUAUUACAUACCUAGAAUGCUUUGCUUUGGAGAUCCACUUCUGCCCAUACUUCCUCCAUUUAUAUCCAUCGAAGUGCGGUGCUUGUGUCACAAUUGAACCUGUGUGUUGUGCAUUCUUCCUAAGAGAAGGGGUAACUAUUUUAAGCCCCAGUAAAUGACACACAAGUAAACAUAUAUAUAUAAACUUCUUUUGCUACACACCUUCUUUUAUUUCCAAUUUCUUUAGCUUCCUCCCCCAGCAUGUGGCUCUCCACGCCGCUAUUCUUACCACGUUUUCUUCUAUGUUUGAUAAGAUUGGCCUGCUUCUUACUGUUAUCACCAAGUUCGAGAAAGGAGAGGACCUUACCUGAGGAACUGGAUAUAUCUUGAAAGAUUUGCUGAACAAGCUUCUCCUGCCUACUACAGGGAUCAAGUGUUGGUAGGAUAAGGUCAUAUAGGUCCCUCAUGAGAGCCCCUUGGUGUUCAAUCUCGUUGAGCACCACUUGGCAGCCACUACGAGUGGAAGAUUCAAGGAUGUUCAUUUGAUGUUCUCUAAAAUGUAUCUCGCUAUAAACUAUAAUAGCUGGACUUUGGAGCUGGAGGUGCUAGGUUUAUGCAGCUUUAGGCAUCUAUUUAUACAAGCAAGCUAGUAGCAGCAGCACACACAGUAUGAUAUGAGCAUGGUGGAGGGAAGGGAUCGUUUUUCAAAUUUUCUCACUGGAGAAGACUAGGGAGGAGCAAUGUCCCUGUCCAACGGUGGUAUGUGGUACAACUAAAGGAUGGGUGGCAGUGUCUACAUCACUCGCAUGACGUUCAUGGAAGGAAACAUGCAUAUAGCUAGGGGCAAUAAUUCUUGAGGCUGUUAUAGGGAGGAGCAGGCAACGUUGCUGUACAUACACAGGCCCUAGGACAGGGACAUGCUUCAUUGACCUCUAAUGGUAAAUGAUACCGAGUCAUUUCGAAAUUCCUGCAAAAUAAACUAGUCAAUCUCAUCUUACACAUAACAGCUGAUGUUCCAUAAUGAGGUACUCCGUGCGUUCCAAAAUAUAGUUCGUUUUAGACUAAACAUACAUUUAUUAAUCGACUUAUAUGAAUGUAGUUUUGUAUGUAUAUAUAUAUGUAUAUUCAUUAUCAUUUA